rnacentral:rRNA from 1 species
UACGAAGGGGGCUAGCGUUGCUCGGAAUCACUGGGCGUAAAGGGUGCGUAGGCGGGUUUUUAAGUCAGGGGUGAAAUCCUGGAGCUCAACUCCAGAACUGCCUUUGAUACUGGCGAGCUUGAGUUCGGGAGAGGUGAGUGGAACUGCGAGUGUAGAGGUGAAAUUCGUAGAUAUUCGCAAGAACACCGGUGGCGAAGGCGGCGACCUGGUCCUUGACUGACGCUGAGGCGCGAAAGCGUGGGGAGCAAACAGG